AAGUGUGGUGUAGUGGUUUGAGUGUCAGACUGCCACUCUGGAGACCAGGGUUCGAAUCCCUGCUAACCUA